GAUGAAGAACGCAGCGAAAUGCGUAAAGUAAUGUGAAUUGCAGAAUUCAGUGAAUCAUCGAAUCUUUGAACGCACAUUGCGCCCGCUGGUACUCCGGCGGGCACGCCUGUCCGAGCGUCAUUUCAACCCUCAAGCCCUCCUUCGGGAUGGGCCUGGUGUUGGGGCUCGGCCGCCAUCUCCGGCGGCCGUCCCCUAAAUACAGUGGCGGUCACGUCGCGACUCCUUUGCGUAGUAGAAACACCUCGCUCCGGAUAGCAACGCGGUCCACGCCGUAAAACCCCCAAUUUUCAAUGGUUGACCUCGGAUCAGGUGGGAAUACCCGCUGAACUUAAGCAUAUCAAUAAGCGGAGGA
rnacentral:misc_RNA from 1 species